GAGGGUAUAGCUCAGUGGUAGAGCGCAUGCCUACUAUGCACAAGGCGCUGGGGUCAAUCCCCAGUACCUCUA
rnacentral:tRNA from 1 species